CCCGGAAGCACAGUUUGCGUUAUGGGUGGACGCAGUCAUCUUUGUCUUCAGUCUGGAGGACGAGAUCAGCUUUCAGACUGUUUAUCACUACUUCAGCCGCCUCGCCAACUACAGGAACACCGCUGACCUGCCGCUGGUGCUUGUCGGCACACAAGACGCCAUCAGCUCGACCAACCCGAGGGUGAUCGACGAUACCCGGGCCAGGAAGCUCUCCAACGACCUCAAACGAUGCACCUACUAUGAAACCUGCGCCACCUACGGCCUCAACGUGGAGCGAGUCUUCC